UGUGUCUCAUUUCAAAAUAUACUAAAACUGGAAUUAUAAGAGAAGAUUAGCAUGGCCCUUAUACAAAGAUGACACCCAAAUUUGUGAAGCAUUUCAUAUUUGG
ensembl:snRNA U6 U6 spliceosomal RNA